rnacentral:rRNA from 1 species
GAUGAACGCUGGCGGUCUGCUUAACACAUGCAAGUCGAACGGAGUACUUCGGUACUUAGUGGCGGACGGGUGAGUAACGCGUGAGAAUCUGCCUUCAGGAGGGGGAUAACGACUAGAAAUGGUCGCUAAUACCCCAUAUGCCCUUGGGUGAAAUGAGUUUUGCCUGAAGAUGAGCUCGCGUCAGAUUAGCUAGUUGGUGUGGUAAUGGCGCACCAAGGCGACGAUCUGUAGCUGGUCUGAGAGGAUGAUCAGCCACACUGGGACUGAGACACGGCCCAGACUCCUACGGGGGGCAGCAGUGGGGAAUUUUCCGCAAUGGGCGAAAGCCUGACGGAGCAAGACCGCGUGAGGGAUGACGGCCUAAUGGUUGUAAACCUCUUUUAUUCGGGAAGAUGAUGACGGUACCGAAUGAAUCAGCCUCGGCUAACUCCGUGCCAGCAGCCGCGGUAAUACGGAGGAGGCAAGCGUUAUCCGGAAUUAUUGGGCGUAAAGCGUCCGUAGGUGGUUUUACAAGUCAGCUGUUAAAGCGUGAGGCUUAACCUCAUACAGGCGGUUGAAACUGUAGGACUAGAGUUUGGUAGGGGUUGCGGGAAUUCCCAGUGUAGCGGUGAAAUGCGUAGAUAUUGGGAAGAACACCGGUGGCGAAAGCGCGCGACUGGACCUGAACUGACACUGAGGGACGAAAGCUAGGGGAGCGAAAGGGAUUAGAUACCCCUGUAGUCCUAGCUGUAAACGAUGGAUACUAGGUGUUGCCCGUAUAUCGACCCGGGCAGUGCCGUAGCUAACGCGUUAAGUAUCCCGCCUGGGGAGUACGCUCGCAAGAGUGA